rnacentral:rRNA from 1 species
UACGGAGGAUCCAAGCGUUAUCCGGAUUCACUGGGUUUAAAGGGUGCGUAGGUGGAAUGACAAGUCAGUGGUGAAAACCUGCAGCUUAACUGUAGAACUGCCAUUGAUACUGUUAUUCUUGAGUACAUUUGAUGUGAGUGGAAUGUGUCGUGUAGCGGUGAAAUGCUUAGAUAUGACACAGAACACCAAUUGCGAAGGCAGCUCACAAAACUGUAACUGACACUGAGGCACGAAGCGUGGGGAUCAAACAGG